rnacentral:rRNA from 1 species
CACGACUACAUUAGAUACCCGGGUAGUCCUAGCCGUAAACGAUACUCGCUAGGUGUCGGCCACGGUGCGACCGUUGUCGGUGCCGUAGGGAAGCCGUGAAGCGAGCCACCUGGGAAGUACGGCCGCAAGGCUGAAACUUAAAGGAAUUGGCGGGGGAGCACAACAACGGGUGGAGCUUGCGGUUUAAUUGGAUUCAACGCCGGAAAUCUUACCGGGACCGACAGCAACAUGAAGGCCAAGCUGAAGACUUUGCCGGAUUAGCUG